rnacentral:lncRNA from 1 species
CAGAACUGAAACAGAUAAACAUCAUCUUUGCCAAGUGGCAACUGCAAAAGUUUAAGGGUUUUGAUCGGGACUAGAGGAGAUUGCGAAAGUGAAGGGAUGAAGAUUUUAUAAUGUAUAUUUAUAAUUAAUAAUGAACAAAGAGAAAGAGACAGAAAGAGGAACAGAAGGAGGAGGAAGAAAAAGAGAAGAGAGGGAGAGAAAGAGAACAAGUAAACACUUGUUACAGAGAGAGACAAUUAAGAAAAUUUACUUGAUUUUAAAAUUUAUAAAGAAACAAAGAACUGGGCAAUUCCAGCUAUUCAGGAGAUUGCAACAGGAGGAUCGCAAGUUCAAGGCCAGCCUGGACAAUUUAGUGAGAAUCUGACUCAGCAUACUACAGGGACACAGCCACAUCAAUGUUUAUAGCAGCACAAUUCACAAUAGCUAAACUGUGGAACCAACCUAGAUGCCCUUCAGUAGAUGAAUGGAUAAAGAAAAUGUGGUAUAUAUACACCAUGGAAUAUUAUUCAGCAAUAAAAGAGAAUAAAAUCAUGGCAUUUGCAGGUAAAUGGAUGGAGUUGGAGAAUAUAAUGGUAAGUGAAGUUAGCCAGUUCCUAAAAACCAAAUGCGAAUGUCUUCUCUGAUUUAAGGCUGCUGAUUCAUAAUGUGGUGGUCGGG